rnacentral:misc_RNA from 1 species
GAUGAAGAACGUAGCGAAAUGCGAUACUUGGUGUGAAUUGCAGAAUCCCGUGAACCAUCGAGUCUUUGAACGCAAGUUGCGCCCGAAGCCAUCAGGUUGAGGGCACGUCUGCCUGGGCGUCACAUAUCGUUGCCCAAUGCCUAUUGCAGUGCAAUAGGAAUUUCUAGGGCGAAUGAUGGCUUCCCGUGAGCGUUGUUGCCUCGCGGUUGGUUGAAAAUCGAGUCCUUGGUAGGGUGUGCCAUGGUAGAUGGUGGUCGAGUUAGAACGAUACCGAUCAUGUGCAUGCUCCCCAAAAUAUGGCCUCUAUGACCCACACGCGUCUUUUGAUGCUCAUGACGAGACCUCAGGUCAGGCGGGGCUACCCGCUGAAUUUAAGCAUAUCAAUAAGCGGAGGA